rnacentral:rRNA from 1 species
CUGAACCAGCCAAGUAGCGUGAAGGAUGACUGCCCUAUGGGUUGUAAACUUCUUUUAUACGGGAAUAAACGAAUCCACGCGUGGAUUUUUGCAUGUACCGUAUGAAUAAGGAUCGGCUAACUCCGUGCCAGCAGCCGCGGUAAUACGGAGGAUCCGAGCGUUAUCCGGAUUUAUUGGGUUUAAAGGGAGCGUAGAUGGGUUGUUAAGUCAGUUGUGAAAGUUUGCGG